UACGUAGGGUGCGAGCGUUGUCCGGAAUUACUGGGCGUAAAGGGCGCGUAGGCGGCCUGUUAAGUCGAACGUGAAAUCCCCGGGCUCAACCCGGGAACUGCGUCCGAUACUGGCAGGCUUGAAUUCGGGAGAGGGAUGCGGAAUUCCAGGUGUAGCGGUGAAAUGCGUAGAUAUCUGGAGGAACACCGGUGGCGAAGGCGGCAUCCUGGACCGAGAUUGACGCUGAGGCGCGAAAGCUAGGGGAGCAAACGGG
rnacentral:rRNA from 1 species